rnacentral:rRNA from 1 species
UGAGCGACGGUUUCUUGAAGUAGCAAUACGGAAGGGAAUACGGAGCAGCGGACGGGUGAGUACAACAUGAGAAGCUAUCCUUUAACGGGGGACAACGUUUGGAAACGGACGCUAAUACCCCAUAAGCCGAGAGGUUAAAGCAGAGAUGCGAUGGAGGAGGCGCUCGUGCCCUAUCAGCUAGUUGGUGAGGUAACGGCACACCAAGGCGAUGACGGGUAGCCGGCCUGAGAGGGCGACCGGCCACACUGGAACUGAGAUACGGUCCAGACUCCUACGGGAGGCAGCAGUGGGGAAUAUUGGGCAAUGGGAGAAAUCCUGACCCAGCAACGCCGCGUGAACGAAGAAGGCCCUUGGGUCGUAAAGUUCUUUUGCGCGGGAAGAAGGAAGUGACGGUACCGCGCGAAUAAGCCCCGGCUAACUACGUGCCAGCAGCCGCGGUAAUACGUAGGGGGCGAGCGUUGUCCGGAAUUACUGGGCGUAAAGGGCAUGCAGGCUGUGCCGUAAGUCGGCUGUAAAAAGAUGCGGCUUAACCGUGUUUAGCAGUCGAAACUGCGGUGCUGGAGUACCGAAGAGGCAAGUGGAAUUCCCAGUGUAGCGGUGAAAUGCGUAGAUAUUGGGAAGAACAUCGGUGGCGAAGGCGACUUGCUGGUCGGUAACUGACGCUCCUAUGCGAAAGCCAGGGGAGCAAACGGGAUUAGAUACCCCGGUAGUCCUGGCGGUAAACGAUGAAUGCUGGGUGUGCGAGUAGAGAUACUGGCGUGCCGUAGUUAACGCGAUAAGCGUUCCGCCUGGGGAGUACGGUCGCAAGAUUGGGA